GGCGACCGGCGCACGGGUGCGUAACGCGUAUGCAACCUACCUUUAACAGGGGGAUAACACUGAGAAAUUGGUACUAAUACCCCAUAAUAUCAUAGAAGGCAUCUUUUAUGGUUGAAAAUUCCGAUGGUUAGAGAUGGGCAUGCGUUGUAUUAGCUAGUUGGUGGGGUAACGGCUCACCAAGGCGACGAUACAUAGGGGGACUGAGAGGUUAACCCCCCACACUGGUACUGAGACACGGACCAGACUCCUACGGGAGGCAGCAGUGAGGAAUAUUGGUCAAUGGACGCAAGUCUGAACCAGCCAUGCCGCGUGCAGGAUGACGGCUCUAUGAGUUGUAAACUGCUUUUGUACGAGGGUAAACGCAGAUACGUGUAUCUGUCUGAAAGUAUCGUACGAAUAAGGAUCGGCUAACUCCGUGCCAGCAGCCGCGGUAAUACGGAGGAUCCGAGCGUUAUCCGGAUUUAUUGGGUUUAAAGGGUGCGUAGGCGGUUUGAUAAGUUAGAGGUGAAAUUUCGGGGCUCAACCCUGAACGUGCCUCUAAUACUGUUGAGCUAGAGAGUAGUUGCGGUAGGCGGAAUGUAUGGUGUAGCGGUGAAAUGCUUAGAGAUCAUACAGAACACCGAUUGCGAAGGCAGCUUACCAAACUAUAUCUGACGUUGAGGCACGAAAGCGUGGGGAGCAAACAGGAUUAGAUACCCUGGUAGUCCACGCAGUAAACGAUGAUAACUCGUUGUCGGCGAUACACAGUCGGUGACUAAGCGAAAGCGAUAAGUUAUCCACCUGGGGAGUACGUUCGCAAGAAUGAAACUCAAAGGAAUUGACGGGGGCCCGCACAAGCGGAGGAACAUGUGGUUUAAUUCGAUGAUACGCGAGGAACCUUACCCGGGCUUGAAAGUUAGCGACGAUUCUUGAAAGAGGAUUUCCCUUCGGGGCGCGAAACUAGGUGCUGCAUGGUUGUCGUCAGCUCGUGCCGUGAGGUGUCGGGUUAAGUCCCAUAACGAGCGCAACCCCUACCGUUAGUUGCCAUCAGGUGAAGCUGGGCACUCUGGCGGGACUGCCGGUGUAAGCCGAGAGGAAGGUGGGGAUGACGUCAAAUCAGCACGGCCCUUACGUCCGGGGCUACACA
rnacentral:rRNA from 1 species